rnacentral:rRNA from 1 species
UCCAGACUCCUACGGGAGGCAGCAGUGGGGGAUAUUGCACAAUGGGGGGAACCCUGAUGCAGCGACGCCGCGUGGGUGAAGGAGCGUUUCGGCGCGUAAAGCCCUAUCGGCAGGGAAGAAGGAGGACGGUACCUGACUAAGAAGCCCCGGCUAACUACGUGCCAGCAGCCGCGGUAAUACGUAGGGGGCAAGCGUUAUCCGGAUUUACUGGGUGUAAAGGGGGCGCAGGCGGCAGCGCAAGCCAGGAGUGAAAGCCCGGGGCCCAACCCCGGGACUGCUCUUGGAACUGCGCGGCUGGAGUGCAGGAGGGGCAGGCGGAAUUCCUGGUGUAGCGGUGAAAUGCGUAGAUAUCAGGAGGAACACCGGUGGCGAAGGCGGCCUGCUGGACUGCGACUGACGUUGAGGCCCGAAAGCGUGGGGAGCAAACAGGAUUAGAUACCCUCGUA